rnacentral:rRNA from 1 species
UAGGGAAUCUUCCACAAUGGACGCAAGUCUGAUGGAGCAACGCCGCGUGAGUGAAGAAGGUCUUCGGAUCGUAAAGCUCUGUUGUUGGUGAAGAAGGAUAGAGGCAGUAACUGGUCUUUAUUUGACGGUAAUCAACCAGAAAGUCACGGCUAACUACGUGCCAGCAGCCGCGGUAAUACGUGGUGGCAAGCGUUGUCCGGAUUUAUUGGGCGUAAAGCGAGCGCAGGCGGAAUGAUAAGUCNGAUGUGAAAGCCCACGGCUCAACCGUGGAACUGCAUCGGAAACUGUCAUUCUUGAGUGCAGAAGAGGAGAGUGGAACUCCAUGUGUAGCGGUGGAAUGCGUAGAUAUAUGGAAGAACACCAGUGGCGAAGGCGGCUCUCUGGUCUGCAACUGACGCUGAGGCUCGAAAGCAUGGGUAGCGAACAGGAUUAGAUACCCUGGUAGUCCAUGCCGUAACGAUGAGCGCUGGUGUUG